CUGACAACCCGGCCCACGCGGUGUCCUUGGCGACACUAGAGCUGACUGCUGGGCGCGAGCACCGCUGCUUCCCGCCGCGUGCCCGGCACCUCCGCGAGUCGCAGUUUCCUCGGCUGUGCAGUGGACGUGGGCAUGCAGAGCCUCCCUCGCUGGCGGCGAGGGACGAAGGAGCCCGCGGCCGUGGCCCAGUUGGGUGUCGGGGACGCGGAGGUCCCCUCCGCAUUGUCUCAAGGGGACUUCCGAGAUGGUGGGCGGGCGGAGUGGAAAGGGUCGGGGGCGAAAGGAGCAGAAGUUGGGGGAGUCCUGAACUGUUCCCACCGCGGAGCGCGGGGGCUUGAACUACGGUCCAGGACGCUCCCGCCAGCCUGAUUUUAUCCAGAAGGGGGUUAUUAUGGGAAGAAACUACUGGGUCCACGCAGCGCGAACCGGGCGCCUUGCAGUGUCCACGGAGUAACGAGCCACCCUGUCCCGCGGCCUGCGGGGGCAGUCCCUGCCCUGGACUGUGCGCUGAGCUAAGCGCUAGCCUCUCGCCGCAGACGGCUAAUUAAAUGUAGAGCAAUUAACUUGCAACGGAAUGAAACACUCAACCUCUCCUUAGCACUAGAGACGUUUCAAGCGCUCAGCAGCCUUCACGGCAGGAAGUUCUGUCGGGCAGCGCUGCGAGGGUCUCUGACCCACAGACUCAGAGGGAAGGAGGCAUCUUAACGCCGCUGGUCGAGGACCUUCGAGGCGGCAGGACUUGGUGUGCACAGUUUUCAGCUCCCGGCAGCAGCCCUGAGAGGUGGAAUUAUUGCCCCUGUUUUGCCAGCGGGAAAACUGAGACGCAGAGAGGGGGGAAGCUCUGAGUUCCUGCAAGGUGGACAGCUGGGCAGCCGAGAGGAGGAAGAAAUAAAGAGAGAACCCAGGCCCUGGAAGCAACACGGCAAAGCAUCUGCAGCUUUCAUUUUGUCUUUUCCUUCGCUUUUCCUUUAUCCCCUUUUACAUUCUUUUUUUCUCUCUCUCCAUCCCUCAUUCUCUUCGACCUGCCCCUGGCACCCACUGGUGAUGCCCUGAGCUAACAGACCAGCAGCCAAUCUGGGAGCUGAGGCCAUGGGGCUACUUUCAAAUGCAGCUCUCCCUCUGGCCAGAGCUGGGGUGCAGGGAAGUAGAUAUCCAACCCAGCUCUUGCAUGAUGGCUCAGGGCCCCUGUCAGCUAAAGAAUCAGUCGAGCUGAUCUUCAGAGGAGCCUACACAACAGUCCCAUCUUUAACAGCCGCUAUAAUUUACCAAACAAAUGAAGAAGCUCUCUGCCCAGGAGAGAUUGGUUGGCUGCUGUCAGCUGCACCCCACUGUAAGGGAACCUGCCCACACACUGCGGACAUGGCUGGGCAAGGGGCCCGGACUCAAUUGGAGUGUCACCACCUCUGGGAUGAGUGUCACUUGACUCCAAAGGACUAGUGCCCUCUCUUUUUCCUAAUUAUAAAUAUAUUUUAAUAUAUAGGAAAACGUAGAAAUUGAGUAAUACUGUGUGUACCCACCACCAAGAAUUAACAUAUGUUAACAUUUAGUCAUGCUUGCUUCCGAUAUUUUCGAGACAUAACUUAAACAUAAAACAAAGUACACAAAUCUUGAGUGUACAGUUUAAUAAAUGUUUACUUGUGUAAAUACCUGUGUAAUUACCAUUCAGAUGAAGAUGUAAUAUAUCAUCACCUCAGAAGGGUCCCUAUGCUAUUUUCUAAUCAGUAGCACCCCAUAAGGAAUCCUUAUUCCGAAUCCUGUCAGUAGGAAUUAGUUUUGCCUAUUGUAGAACUCCUUAAAACAAAACUACAUUGCAUGUAUUCAUUUACACCUGGCUGCUUCUGCUUAACAUAAUGUCUGUGAGAUUCAUCUAUGUUAUUGCAGUAUUAAUGCAUCCUCCUGAAGGUGGACAUUUGAGUUGUUAUUUUGUUGUUGUUGUUGUUGCUGUUGUAAAUAGUGUUGCAGUGAAUAUUCUUGCACCUGUCUUCUUGGGUACAUGAUUAAGACUCUCUAACAUCUAUAUCUAGAAGUAGAAUAACGAAAUUGGUUUGAUUAGUCAUUGGCUAAUAUAAAUAAAGCUGCUAUGAACAUCCUUGUA